GACGAACGCUGGCGGCGUGCUUAACACAUGCAAGUCGAGCGGUAAGGCCCUUUCGGGGGUACACGAGCGGCGAACGGGUGAGUAACACGUGGGUGACCUGCCCUCAGCUCUGGGAUAAGCCUGGGAAACCGGGUCUAAUACCGGAUAUGACUCCAUGACGCAUGUUGUGGGGUGGAAAGCCUUGUGCGGCUGAGGAUGGGCCCGCGGCCUAUCAGCUUGUUGGUGGGGUGAUGGCCUACCAAGGCGACGACGGUAGCCGGCCUGAGAGGCGACCGGCCACACUGGGACUGAGACACGGCCCAGACUCCUACGGGAGGCAGCAGUGGGGAAUCUUGCGCAAUGGGCGAAAGCCUGACGCAGCGACGCCGCGUGA
rnacentral:rRNA from 1 species